GUUAAAUGAAAAAAUAAAAAACUAGAAUAUUAUUGUCUUACAAAUAUUAUAAGAUGAAAGAAAUAUAAAGGUUUUGAGUUUAAAUUUUUUAAUUUACUUAUUUUAAGAUAAUUCAUUUUUAUAGUGAAAAAGAUAGAUAACUACCUCCCGUUGUAAAGCACAUCAGUUAUUAUUCAAUCCAUAUAUUAAACCUUGCUAGUGCUACAAUUAGACAUAAUAUAAAAUAUUGAGUUUAUGGACAAAUUUCACCAUUAUUAUAUUUCAUAUCAUUUGAUUA
rnacentral:misc_RNA from 1 species